rnacentral:lncRNA from 1 species
CCGCCGCCGCCAAGGACGGAAUGUAAAGAUCGCUAUGUCUCGCGUUUGUGACAAAAGUCGCAGGCUCGACAAAAACCACACCAUUAAAAAUUGUUUGGUGAUGAGAUGUAAACAAUAUAUUCAGGUUAAUAUAAUGGGUACCCAGGUUAGGGCAGGAUGGUGCCUUCAAAUUAGUUUAGCCCCGCCACAUUCGGUAUGUGCCUGUCCCAAGUCAGGAGCAUGUAAUUCAGUGUAAUGGUUGUUGUUUGUUGCUGUAUCAUAUUUGUUUUUCUUUCAUUAUUUUGUACAUAAAUCAGGCCGUUAGUUUUCUCGUUUGAAUUGUUUGUGUGGAUAUGAAUUAUUAAAGAGUCAAAGCAGGGACUUUCUAUACUAACUAGUAUAGACUGUCCCUGGUCAGAGUCAAUCUCUCUCACCAACAAAAAAGCAAGCCUAAUGUCAAUUACUU